rnacentral:rRNA from 1 species
CACUUUAACACUGAGGCGUGAUGACGAGGCACUACGGUGCUGAAGCAACAAAUGCCCUGCUUCCAGGAAAAGCCUCUAAGCAUCAGGUAACAUCAAAUCGUACCCCAAACCGACACAGGUGGUCAGGUAGAGAAUACCAAGGCGCUUGAGAGAACUCGGGUGAAGGAACUAGGCAAAAUGGUGCCGUAACUUCGGGAGAAGGCACGCUGACACGUAGGUGAAGUGAUUUACUCACGGAGCUGAAGUCAGUCGAAGA